GGGUCGGCUCGCCUAUUGGUGUGGGCAGCUGUCUGUAAAACAGUCCGUUUUGGUUGCUGGUUCAAUUCCAGCUCGACCCA
rnacentral:tRNA from 2 species